rnacentral:rRNA from 1 species
AUGGAUGUCGAUCGACAAGAAACGAUGGAAGAGACUAUUCUCGUCGGUGAUGAUCUUAUGCGUGGGCCACCUUCCCCUGUCGUACCGAAAGAGAUUGCAUCCCAUGUCCUUGAAGGUGUUGAGCUCUGUGAUGGUAUCCUGAAGAAUCUUUUCCUAUGCUUGCAAAUCAAUGAUAUUGAGCCAUUUUGUCAAGACGAAAUUGUACUAUACAAACAAUGCGCUGAGAAAAGGGAUAAGGAAAUAAGGGAACGACUGCAGGAUAGUGAAUAUAAAUUGGGUUUCUCGAUGCCCCUCGAAGAUGCAAAGGAAAGAGUCACUCAACUCCAAUCAGAACUCACACUGCUCGAAAGGCGCAUGAUUCUUGCUAGUGGUCUUCCGGGUAUGGAAGGAUUUCGCCAACGAUGGAGCUUGCAUGGACAGCUCGGCGAUACAAGGAAAAGGUUGGAGGCGCUGAACCGUGGGAUGGCAAAAAGAGAGAGCCCAAGUCCUCCAGGCGAAGGCACAACACCUGCAGUUAAGAAGAGGUGGUUCUUUUAG